rnacentral:rRNA from 1 species
GACUAACGCUGACGGUAUGCCUUACACAUGCAAGUCGAACGGAAAGGUCUCUUCGGAGAUACUCGAGUGGCGGACGGGUGAGUAACACGUAGGAAUCUGCCUCUAAGAGGGGGACAACCCAGGGAAACUUGGGCUAAUACCCCAUAUGGCGCGAGCUGAAAUGAUUUUUCGCUUAGAGAUGAGCCUGCGUUUGAUUAGCUAGUUGGUGGGGUAAUAGCCUACCAAGGCAACGAUCAAUAGCUGGUCUGAGAGGAUGAUCAGCCACAAUGGGACUGAGAUACGGCCCAUACUCCUACGGGAGGCAGCAGUGGGGAAUUUUGCGCAAUGGGCGAAAGCCUGACGCAGCAAUACCGUGUGUGGGAAGACGCCCCGUGGGGUGUAAACCACUGUCAGGAGUGAAGAAUUUGACUGUAGCUCCAGAGGAAGCACCGGCUAAUUCCG